AACUUUGCGCAGUGGCGAUAUCGUAACCAAUGAGGUGUAUCCGAGGUGCGAUUAUUGCUAUGUAGUUGGGCAAAUAAUAUUGAUCUUUAUAAUUAAAAAAAUUGUCUAAAUAAAUGUAGAAAUAAUUUCAAAAUU